rnacentral:rRNA from 1 species
CUGGGGAGUACGGCCGCAAGGUUAAAACUCAAAUGAAUUGACGGGGGCCCGCACAAGCGGUGGAGCAUGUGGUUUAAUUCGAUGCAACGCGAAGAACCUUACCUACUCUUGACAUCCACAGAAUUCGGCAGAGAUGCCUUAGUGCCUUCGGGAACUGUGAGACAGGUGCUGCAUGGCUGUCGUCAGCUCGUGUUGUGAAAUGUUGGGUUAAGUCCCGCAACGAGCGCAACCCUUAUCCUUUGUUGCCAGCACGUAAUGGUGGGA